GUUUUUCCUGAGGAGCUGUUUUGUUUGGCAUGUGUGGUUCUAAAAAUAAAGUUCGUUUCUUUUGAUAAGUGGCUCCUGAAUUGUGCCCAGCCAGACUGCAGCACCCAUCCAUUAAAAGAAACUAUGAAAUUGGGUUCAGUAUAGUGAAGAUAGAUACAUUUAAAAUGAUCAUGCUAACGUAAGUAACUUCCCCAAAUUUGCCCUGGAUUUUGUUAUCAUAACAAGGGUUUCAGCACAGCCCUCAUUCUCAAGGCUAUUCUUAACCACUGGGAUACAAGGACUUCCUAUAAAAUCACUGAUUAUUGUUGGGCAAUAUUCAAUUAUCACACAAUUAUUUGUCCUUCAAGACAGUUAAUAGAUACAGUGACUAGGCAAAGAAGUUCCACCUAAAACCACAGCACUAACUCUGGAGAGGUAGAACUGAUGUAAAGGUUGGUGAAGUUGCAUAUCCAGAAUGAAAGAGAUUUUCUUGAACAGCAGGGAUGACCCACAUUGAAGAGUCAUGAAAACCAAGAUUAAACAGAUUAAUGCCAUAUGUGGAAAGUCCUGAAAGUCAUGCAAAAGAAUUUGAAUUUAAUGCAGUACUCAAGUGUCCGAGGUCCUUAAACUAAUAUGGUAGUUUGUAGAAUGCAUUCAAGUUGUCAGAUCUUUUGAUAGACUGGCUUUGGGGUAUUGCAUUUGGUAGAUUCAACUCCCAAUUCAAGUCCUAUGAGCCUGGAACCAGAACUGCUGAUGUCUAAGGGCAAAAAAAAUGAAUGCCUCAGCUCCAGAUGAUGAAAAUUCACCCUUCCUGACUUUUUGUUCUAUUUAGACCCUCAACCACUUAGAGGCUAUCCACUCAUAUUGGUGAGAGAAUUUUUUUUUAUUCAGUCUACUGAUUUAAAUGCUAAUCUCUUUACACACCUUCACAGACUUACCCUAAAUUAAUGUUUUAUCAGCUAUUUGCGUGUCCUUUAGCCCGAUCAAGGUAACAUUAAAAAUUAACCAUCACCAUCACAGUGUACCAAGUGGGCGGAGAGAAGGAAAAAUAAACAGAUAAACUUUGAGUAUACACACACACACACACACACACACACACACACACACACACACACGAUGUAUGGAUGCAUAUUGAAAAUAAGAUGAUGGGACAAAUGAAUACAUGUAGAUGAAGACAAGCAGAAGGCUAAGAUAAUAGCCUUGGUGAAACCCACAGCUUGGUUGUAGAAGGAGGGAGAAGAUCCAUCAAUGAAAACAAAGAAUCCUUCACAAAGGUUAUAGAGCAAAGAACAGUACCAUGGAAACCAAGAGAAGACUAAGAAAGAAGGAGCAGGUGCUCAACAGUGUCAAUGCUAUAAAGAGGAGGAUAAAAACUGAGGAGAGACUGGAGCUGUGUCAGAGGUUACUCAUGACAUUUAAAAGAACCAAAAUGAAUGAAAGGGAUAGGAGCAGACUGCAGGGAGGACUUAGGCAGGAAUGUGCAGGCAAUUAACACAGGUCCCUAGCACAAGAGGUUUGGCACCCAAAGAAGAGAAUCUGUAGUGCUAUAGUACAACACAUCCCUAUAUCAUAAGAUAAUAGAAAAGUAAAAUUCAUCCAAGAGAAUUUCACUUUUCAAAUAUUACUGGAAACCUCUAUAAUCUUUGGUGGAAGAUACACCAGUAGUAGGAAUGUGACUUUUUUACUCCUGCAAACUGAACUGUAUAAUUCUCCAUUGCCUUUCCAACAGCAUUAACUUUACAUUUUCCUUUUCUUGACAUCUUUCUGUGCUGACAGUAGGAAGAGAGAGAGAAAAAAAAAACAUGCUAAUCAACUAAGAUAAAAGUGGAAUUUCUGAGACUGCUGAUCUACAUGAUUUCUCUGGCGGCUUUUCAUUGUCCAACAAGAUUCUAGAGAAAGCGUUGUGAUCUCUGGCCUACCUCACCUAAUUCACCUCAUCUGAAACUUGGACAAAAAUCUACUAGUAUACUGCAAGCCAUAUUUGAACUCUGCUCCUUACUAAAAUAGAUCAAAAAGAUGAAGUUCUCUCGGCUGUCCUGUGUCACCCUGUAAUUCUACAGUGGAAAGUUUUCAUUGGUUAAGAAGCUAAGAAGACUCAUGGAACAAUUCAGUCUCAAUUGCUGAAGAUAGCAACAAGUUGAGAUAUGUAUGGAACCCUGGCAGUGUUAUGCUGGGCAACAGCUCCUGGUCAGCCAUGAACUCACAAGGGUCUUGCCACAAAAUAGACCAGUUUCUUCCACAGGAGAUGAAAGACUCCAAUACAGACGAGGAACAGAAAAAAAAAAGCAGGCAGAAGACUUGAAAGUGAACUCCUGAGCUGAGAGAAUAAAUGUCUUAGGCUAUGAAGAAAUAUAACAACAUGUGCCUACUGCUCAAUUAUUUUGAAUAAGUUGUUUUCUCCUCACUUUAAUCUGGUGCCAUAGGAGUUUAACAUCUUGGAAUGGAGGAAGAUAAAGUUAUUUUAUCAAAUAAAGUGAACGGUGAAGUCUGGGAGGAUAACAAUGAACCAAAAUAAUAAGUGGGAAUAGUUGCUAAGGGGGAGAGAAGGUCAAUAGCAAGUGGGUGUCUAACUCUAGCAGGUGCCUGUGCAUGUCAGCACCUCCACUUCUUUUUGCCUUCACUCUUGUAUGUGGUGAGAAAGACUGAGCAUCAGAAGGAUGGCCAUGAGGUCGUUGGGGUAAUGGGAGAAUGAGAGACUGAAAUCUCAGUGUUCUACUCUAGUCUUGGUAUCUAGGGAUCAUUUUAAACCUUGAGUAUUGGGGACCCUGAGUCUAUAAGUCAAAAAACUUGGAGGGGAAGCUUUCACUGUUUUUUAAAAGAGAGAAAUUUUUGUACAUCUAUUCUAUCUAAUUUCUUUCCCCUGAUCCCUUUCCAUUUUUUUCAUUUUCUGAACACUUAUACAGUAUUCAUCUCUCCCAAGGCCCUCCAUUGGGAUACUGGAUCCAGGUACCCUACCACCGCUCUAAUGCCUUAAGUUCCAAAUGGCCCCUCCCUUUCAGAGCUAAUUUCAACUAACACCCAGAUUCAGAAUGCAAUUCAUUUCAUUUAUACAGACAUUCAAUUACACUAAUUCACAUUAAAUUAUUUAAAAAGGUAUUUAACGGUUCCUGGGAUUAUUUGCACUUUUGAACUUAAGUGGAUGCCUUUUGAUGGUCUGGUUCUGGAAUAGAUGUUGGAGGGAAGGCUUUUUGCUAGGUUAUGGGUUCUGCCCACUGUUCCUCUUCCUUUAAUGAAUCAUCUUUAGAAUGGCUUAGCUUUGCUUCAUCUGACUACCUUUUUGAGUCCUUAUGAAUUUCUGCAUUCCAUGGAAUGCAAACAAGUGUGGGUGUAGGUAGGUUCAUGAUCAAAUAUGCAAAUGACAUGUGAAAAUGGGUAAUUUUCUCUUUUAAUAGAUUACCUAUUAAUUUACUCACACAUUACUUCAACUUUUAGAGAUACUGGGAACUCUGCCUAUACCUAUUGAGUAAAUACUCUAUACAGAUAAUAAAAAUGCAGGAAAGAGUUUCUCAGAAGACUAUUAAAUUACAGUUAAAUAAAAGGAACCAGAAACUAUUAUCUUUCCACUGUUAUUAUUUUUUUAACAAAUGUCCCAUUUUAUUUUAUUUCUUUAAUGUAUUUUAUUAUUAUCACUGAAAGUUUAUAGUAAAUAUAACUAAACACGCUCAAAUAUGUUAUAUAUAAUUAUCUAUUGGACAUCACAUGCAUAAUA